UAACGAAUCUUCCGCAAUGGGCGAAAGCCUGACGGAGCAAUGCCGCGUGUGGGAUGAAGCGCCUUCGGCGUGUAAACCACUGUCAGGGAAUGGAACCAAUGAUUAUUCCCAAAGGAAGUGGCGACUAACUCUGUGCCAGCAGUCGCGGUAAUACAGAGGCCACAAGCGUUAGUCGGAAUCACUGGGCUUAAAGGGUGCGUAGGCGGGCCCGCAAGCGUCUUGUGAAAUCCCAUGGCUCAACCAUGGAAUUGCAGGGCGAACUGCGGGUCUUGAGGCAGGUAGGGGCCGGAAGAACAGUAGGUGGAGCGGUGAAAUGCGUAGAUAUCUACUGGAAUGCCGAUGGGGAAGCCGUCCGGCUGGGCCUGUCCUGACGCUGAGGUGCGAAAGCGUGGGGAGCAAACAGGAUUAGAUACCCCCGUAGUCCCUGAGCGGGCUGGCAAGGCGCAU
rnacentral:rRNA from 1 species